rnacentral:rRNA from 1 species
GAUGAACGCUGGCGGCGUGCUUAACACAUGCAAGUCGAACGGAAAGGCCCAAGCUUGCUUGGGUACUCGAGUGGCGAACGGGUGAGUAACACGUGGGUGAUCUGCCCUGCACUUCGGGAUAAGCCUGGGAAACUGGGUCUAAUACCGGAUAGGACCACAUUUUGGAUGGUGUGGUGGAAAGUUUUUCGGUGUGGGAUGAGCUCGCGGCCUAUCAGCUUGUUGGUGGGGUAAUGGCCUACCAAGGCGUAGACGGGUAGCCGGCCUGAGAGGGUGUACGGCCACAAUGGGACUGCGAUACGGAGCAGACUCCUACGUGAGGCAGCAGGGGGGAAUAUUGCCCAAUGGGGGCAAGCCUGAUGCAGCGACGCCGCGUGGGGGAUGACGGCCUUCGGGUUGUAAACUCCUUUCGCUAGGGACGAAGCGCAAGUGACGGUACCUGGAGAAGAAGCACCGGCUAACUACGUG